UUUUCCAGCUCUUAGGAUGCUCUAUGGGACUGAAUGCAGCUUGGGUGUCAGCAUGCUGAAGUUUCUAAGGGAAAAUAUUCUGGCCAAGAACUCGCUUUCUGACAGUCCUGAAGUUCAAGUAGAACACCGAGUGGGAAACCCAGCCAGAAGGAAAACCAGGAAAGGUGUGGGAUAAAUGGAAACAGUGGCUUCAAAUGGGAAAUCCAAAACAUCUCCACGCCUCAGCUUUAUGUCUGGGAGAUGUUUCUCUCUGGAAAUCAGAGCCUGGUGAAGCCUGCCCGUGUUGGUAACAACUUCUGGAGGUCACAGCCCCAAAGGGAAAGCUUCAGCCUGCCUGUUGCCUUCUCUUUUUGUUCAUCUCACCCAACUGGAGGGGCAGGGAUGAGCAGAGCACGAUCGGACCCGUGGUUGCAUAUUGGUAUUCGUGACAACUUCUGGUUGCUGGCAGCGAUUGCUGAUGCUCUCCUACACCAGAGCACCCUCUGCUAGGAUUGAGCCCUUGUUGGGACCUGAGAGGACCAAUGGAUCGUGGUGUCUCCAUGAGGACAUGGGGGCAAUGUGGAAGCCCCACAGUGCAGCACUGAUCCCUGCCAUAAGCCCCUCUGGGCAAGGCUACUCUCCCAGCCCUGAGCUCUGCAGACUUAGGGGCUGGUGGAUUUUAAUGGCAUGGGGAUAUUUCUUCAGUGGCAUCCUUUGAAGCCCAGCUCCCUUCCUCAGUCAGUGCCAGUGGGACCACUGCUGUGAUGUCUCAUUAGGUGGCUCUCCUGGAUGCAGGGCAUGUCUUGGAGGUGCUGUAUGGCAGCUCUAGUAUCAGAGCAGCUCUGAAGCAAUCAUUCAUGCUGGAGGAACCAAUCCUGCUGAGCAACAUAAGAGCCCCCUAGACUGCUCACAGCCUCCACACCCUGGGAUGGGAUGUGUUUAAAGGCAGAAAAACGAAGCUCUGGCUUUUGAUUAGCAUAUGUUGCUGCUCGGAGAAGUGCCUGAAGGCACUGGUGAGGAGCUGUCUGUUCUCUUGCACCUGAGAAGGGAUUUUUGCUGACCCUGCACACAGCUCCCAGUGGGCUGUGCUCCGCUCAUCCACCUCUGGGCAAAGUAGGAGCCCUUCCCAGCUCCUGGGUUGGAAGGGCUGUGCUGUAAGAUGUGGUGCUACGCCUUCUCCCAGUGCUUCAUCCUCCUCUCACCCUCCCAUUCCUCCCCCACUUCCACCUCCCCUUUUCUCCUUGCUCUUCUCCCUUUAGCUGCUCAAGACCUGUGUGCUCCUGCCCAUUCAAUCAUUGUUUUGAACACCUGUGUCUCAGUGCUUCUCACAUGUCACUUAUCCACAGCAGUGUCUAUUCCCUGUAGGAAUCCCUGAUUAUAUUAAGGUUGUAGCUAACUGCAUUUUUACCCUUCUUCUCUCAAUUUUAUUAGCUAAUAAUCUUAAGUUACAGUUUCUUAAGGAAUUUAAGUUGAAAUCACACUGCCCUGGUUUAACUUUGUGAUCUCAUCUGUACUUGAGAUCCAUUGGCUCCUUAUUUUCUUUAUAACCACAAACUUGCUUUAGCUUAAUCCAGCUUAAGCCAGCAGUCAAUUAAAAUUAUGUUCUGAUUCUGCAGGCCCAGACUC
ensembl:lncRNA